rnacentral:rRNA from 1 species
UACGGAGGGGGCUAGCGUUGUUCGGAAUUACUGGGCGUAAAGCGUACGUAGGCGGCUUUGUAAGUUAGAGGUGAAAGCCCGGGGCUCAACUCCGGAAUUGCCUUUAAGACUGCAUCGCUUGAAUCAUGGAGAGGUGAGUGGAAUUCCGAGUGUAGAGGUGAAAUUCGUAGAUAUUCGGAAGAACACCAGUGGCGAAGGCGACUCACUGGACAUGUAUUGACGCUGAGGUACGAAAGCGUGGGGAGCAAAUAGG